UACGGGGGGGGCAAGCGUUGUUCGGAAUUACUGGGCGUAAAGGGCUCGUAGGCGGCCAACUAAGUCAGACGUGAAAUCCCUCGGCUUAACCGGGGAACUGCGUCUGAUACUGGAUGGCUUGAGUUUGGGAGAGGGAUGCGGAAUUCCAGGUGUAGCGGUGAAAUGCGUAGAUAUCUGGAGGAACACCGGUGGCGAAGGCGGCAUCCUGGACCAAUACUGACGCUGAGGAGCGAAAGCCAGGGGAGCAAACGGGG
rnacentral:rRNA from 1 species